GCAUAACGCGAAGAACCUUACCAGGCCUUGACAUGCAGAGAACUUUCCAGAGAUGGAUUGGUGCCUUCGGGAACUCUGACACAGGUGCUGCAUGGCUGUCGUCAGCUCGUGUCGUGAGAUGUUGGGUUAAGUCCCGUAACGAGCGCAACCCUUGUCCUUAGUUACCAGCACGUUAUGGUGGGCACUCUAAGGAGACUGCCGGUGACAAACCGGAGGAAGGUGGGGAUGACGUCAAGUCAUCGAUGGCCCUUACGGCCUGGGCUACACACGUGCUACAAUGGUCGGUACAGAGGGUUGCCAAGCCGCGAGGUGGAGCUAAUCUCACAAAACCGAUCGUAGUCCGGAUCGCAGUCUGCAACUCGACUGCGUGAAGUCGGAAUCGCUAGUAAUCGCGAAUCAGAAUGUCGCGGUGAAUACGUUCCCCGGGUCUUGUACACA
rnacentral:rRNA from 1 species